rnacentral:sRNA from 1 species
GAUAUUAUGCUGCUGGCUAGAAACAAUAGCUUAUUUUUCCCUCAACAACUAGUAAAGUUCAUUUUAUAAAACACAAAAGCUAGAAGAAAUGGAAAACUGCAGAUGAUUCUACCAGCCAGGGCUCAUCACGGAUUCGGAAACUUCAGAUACGAAAUAUCCCGCCUCAUUUACAGUGGGAGGUGCUGGAUAGUUUACUAGUCCAGUAUGGAGUGGUGGAGAGCUGUGAGCAAGUGAACACUGACUCGGAAACUGCAGUUGUAAAUGUAACCUAUUCCAGUAAGGACCAAGCUAGACAAGCACUAGACAAACUGAAUGGAUUUCAGUUAGAGAAUUUCACCUUGAAAGUAGCCUAUAUCCCUGAUGAAAUGGCCGCCCAGCAAAACCCCUUGCAGCAGCCCCGAGGUCGCCGGGGGCUUGGGCAGAGGGGCUCCUCAAGGCAGGGGUCUCCAGGAUCCGUAUCCAAGCAGAAACCAUGUGAUUUGCCUCUGCGCCUGCUGGUUCCCACCCAAUUUGUUGGAGCCAUCAUAGGAAAAGAAGGUGCCACCAUUCGGAACAUCACCAAACAGACCCAGUCUAAAAUCGAUGUCC